rnacentral:rRNA from 1 species
UACGGGGGGGCAAGCGUUGUUCGGAAUUACUGGGCGUAAAGGGCGCGUAGGCGGUUCGCGUAAGUUGAAUGAUGAAACUACUGGGCUAACCCAGAGCCUGCAUUCAAUACUGGCGGGCUAGAGUUCUGGAGGGGAUAGCGGAAUUCCUGGUGUAGGCGGUGAAAUGCGUAGAGUAUCAGGAGGAACACCGGUGGCGAAGGCGGCUAUCUGGACAGAGUCUGACGCUGAG